AUACGGUCAUAUCAUGUAAAACACCGGUUACCGUACGAUCACAGAAGUUAAGCAACGUCAAACUUGGUCAGUACUCAGAUCGGUGACAGUUUGGGAAUACCAGGUUGUG